ensembl:lncRNA
CAUUCUCUCCACAUCCUAAAACUUUAUUAAACUGAAAACGGUUAAGAAAUAACACCAUACAAAAUACAACUGGUAAAACGUAUGGCUAUACACACAACCAUUUGUUUUGUUGAUAGAGCACACAAUCACAGAUCAAUACAAUGUUAAAGGCCUUUUCAGUAGUACAAAAAUAUUAGAAACCUUUACAAUUAUCAUCUAGAAAACCUUUUUUUUUCAUGGAAAACUGUUCUAUUUUUAAACUGCAGUCGUUAGACAGAAUGCCGCUCCUCCAUUCUGCUCACCUCUUUCACUCUCAUUUUCUUUCUUUCCAUUCCCUUCUCCCCUCUCCAUCUCCUUUUCACUUUCUCCCUCUCUGUUGCCCCCUCCUGUCUUUUUCUCAGAGUCAGAUUUUGAAAGUGAAGGAGGAGCCAUUAUCUCCAGCACCUCCUCCACUCCCUCAUCAAUGUACAACAGAGGCUCCUUCUCCUCCCAUUUCUCCGCCUCCUUGCUCCCAGCCACUCCAACUGCCCCAUCAGGCCCACCCCUCUCUCCCUCGGUCUCGUUGGCUAUGAAUGUGCUCAGCACAACAUCUGUUCCAGCCCCCUCUCUCUUGUUGUCCUCUGGGCUCCCUCCCUCCUCCACGCCCUCACCCUCCUCCCUGUCCCCGCCCCCUAGCUUCACUGGCCCCGCCCAGGCAUCUUCCUCUGCUCCUUUCUUCCACUUGGAACUCUUCCCGUUCCGGACGCCGGACCCAAAGUACUCAGUGCGGCACUGCCUCUUUCGUCUGACGCCCAGAUAUAUGCAGUAGACCAUGCCCGGGAAUAUAACACAGACCAGGAGACUGGCGAUGAUGAUCCAGAACAAGCUGAGCGGACUUCGCUUGACCCUGCCCACCGUAGAGUCAUGAUCUGUGGAGGAGGAGGUCGUAGCGGGGGUUGUGAAAUGGCUGGGAGCGCUGUUGACCGAUGGGGAGGCGGGUGCUUGGGACUUGAUGGAAUUUGAUCAAAGGAUGCAGUAUCGUUUCACCGCAUAUUUUCUGACCCUAAGAGCAACACUAGAGCUUACGGUGGGCAGCAGGGUAGUAAACUGUUUGGUCUGAUAGAGAGGCACGACUUCAGAGACCUGAUCCUCAAGACCUUUGACUUUGAGAUCGGCUACUGCAACCCCUACAGCAGGAACACCU